CCAUGAGGCCAGGACAUUAGUCCAGCCAAUGAACUUCGAGGGGCUGACAGGCAAACAUCGGUGUUCUUAGGUCUCCACCUUUGAGGGUCUCGCUUGUUUCAGCGGCUGAAGCAGCGGCCGGUAAAGCAGAGCCCGUCUUGACCGUGAAGUUUUACCAGCACGUGACCACGGCCACUCAUUCCCGCAAGAUCCAGGGCUGUUUGGGGGCUGCGACGGUGGACUUGAGCCCUUACGACACACGCGGUCUGGCCUUUGGAGACCAGGGCCCUGUGGGACGGCACGUGUGCCUGGGAUGUCCCGCCGGGGCGCGCUGCCCCUCCUGACAUCGGGGCGGCUGGAUGUCCGACUUCGGCUCAGGUCGUGAUCUCACCGUUCGUGGGUUCGAGCCCGGCGACGCCGGGCUCUGUGCUGACAGCUCGGAGCCUGGAGCCUGCCUCGGAUUCUGUGUCUCCCUCCCUGUCUGCGCCUCCCUUGCUCAUAUUCUGUCU